GACGAACGCUAGCGGCGCGCUUAACACAUGCAAGUCGAGCGGAAAGGCCCUUCGGGGUACUCGAGCGGCGAACGGGUGAGUAACACGUGAGCAACCUGCCCUUGGCUUUGGGAUAACCCCGGGAAACCGGGGCUAAUACCGAAUAUCCACGUACCGUCGCAUGACAGUGCGUGAAAAGUUUUUCGGCUGAGGAUGGGCUCGCGGCCUAUCAGCUUGUUGGUGGGGUAACGGCCUACCAAGGCUUCGACGGGUAGCCGGCCUGAGAGGGCGACCGGCCACACUGGGACUGAGAUACGGCCCAGACUCCUACGGGAGGCAGCAGUGGGGAAUAUUGCACAAUGGGCGCAAGCCUGAUGCAGCGACGCCGCGUGAGGGAAGAAGGCCUUCGGGUCGUAAACCUCUUUCGGCAGGGACGAAGCGAAAGUGACGGUACCUGAAGAAGAAGCGCCGGCCAACUACGUGCCAGCAGCCGCGGUAAGACGUAGGGCGCAAGCGUUGUCCGGAUUUAUUGGGCGUAAAGAGCUCGUAGGCGGCCUGUCGCGUCGACUGUGAAAACCCGCGGCUUAACUGCGGGACUGCAGUCGAUACGGGCAGGCUAGAGUUCGGUAGGGGAGACUGGAAUUCCUGGUGUAGCGGUGAAAUGCGCAGAUAUCAGGAGGAACACCGGUGGCGAAAGGCGGGUCUCUGGGCCGAUACUGACGCUGAGGAGCGAAAGCGUGGGGAGCGAACAGGAUUAGAUACCCUGGUAGUCCACGCUGUAAACGUUGGGCGCUAGGUGUGGGGGGCCUCUCCGGUCCUCUGUGCCGCAGCUAACGCAUUAAGCGCCCCGCCUGGGGAGUACGGCCGCAAGGCUAAAACUCAAAGGAAUUGACGGGGGCCCGCACAAGCGGCGGAGCAUGCGGAUUAAUUCGAUGCAACGCGAAGAACCUUACCUGGGUUUGACAUGGCGGCUAAAGCCACAGAGAUGUGGUGUCCUUCGGGGGCCGUCACAGGUGGUGCAUGGCUGUCGUCAGCUCGUGUCGUGAGAUGUUGGGUUAAGUCCCGCAACGAGCGCAACCCUCGUUCCAUGUUGCCAGCGGGUAAUGCCGGGGACUCAUGGGAGACUGCCGGGGUCAACUCGGAGGAAGGUGGGGAUGACGUCAAGUCAUCAUGCCCCUUAUGUCCAGGGCUUCACGCAUGCUACAAUGGCCGGUACAAAGGGCUGCGAUACCGCAAGGUGGAGCGAAUCCCAAAAAGCCGGUCUCAGUUCGGAUCGGGGUCUGCAACUCGACCCCGUGAAGUCGGAGUCGCUAGUAAUCGCAGAUCAGCAAUGCUGCGGUGAAUACGUUCCCGGGCCUUGUACUCACCGCC
rnacentral:rRNA from 1 species